GGUCCGGUGGCCGAGUGGUCAGGCACAGGUCUGCAAAACCUGCUACGUGGGUUCGAUUCCCGCCCGGACCU
rnacentral:tRNA from 2 species